GAGGGAUAUUGGUCAUGGGGGAAACCCUGAACCAGCAACGCCGCGUGAGGGAAGACGGUUUUCGGAUUGUAAACCUCUGUCCUCUGUGAAGAUAAUGACGGUAGCAGAGGAGGAAGCUCCGGCUAACUAC
rnacentral:rRNA from 1 species